rnacentral:rRNA from 1 species
GUAGUCCACGCCGUAAACGAUGGAUACUAGCUGUUGGAGGUAUCGACCCCUUCAGUAGCGAAGCUAACGCGUUAAGUAUCCCGCCUGUGGAGUACGGUCGCAAGACUAAAACAUAAAGGAAUUGACGGGGACCCGCACAAGCGGUGGAUCGUGUUCUUUAAUUCGAUGAUAAACGAAGAACCUUACCAGGGUUUGACAUCCUUGGAAUUUCUGUGAAAGCAGAGAGUGCUUUAUUGAGCCAAGUGACAGGUGCUGCAUGGCCGUCGUCAGCUCGUGUCGUGAGAUGUUUGGUUAAGUCCAUCAACGAGCGCAACCCUUGUGAAUAGUUGUAUUUUUCUAUUCAGACUGCCCCGGUAACGGGGAGGAAGGAGGGGAUGAUGUCAGGUCAGUAUUGCCCUUACACCCUGGGCUAGAAACACGAUACAAUGGUUAGUACAAUGCGCAGCAAAACCGCGAGGUGGAGCAAAUCGCAUCAAAGCUAAUCUCAGUUCAGAUAAGAGGCUGAAACUCGCCUCUUUGAAGUCGGAAUCGCUAGUAAUCGCAGAUCAGCAAGCUGCGGUGAAUACGUUCCCGGGUCUUGUACACACCGCCCGUCAAACCAUGAAAGUCACCAACACCCGAAGUCCGAUUCGUCGGCCUAAGGUGGGGGGGAUGAUUGGGGUU